CCGCUGGGACCUGCAAGGGAAGUCUAAAUCGGAGUUGGGGGUGCUCCGGCAAGACCCUCCGACGCUCAAGUCAGUACUCUGCUUCAACAGAAAUGGAGUGCUAGAGCAGAAAUUUUAGCAGAGUUUUGAGAUAGAGUUUAGAGCUUAGAGAAGAACAUAUCUGGGGGUCUCUUUUUAUAGACAGAGAGCGUAACUGAUUGACAGCGAUGUCUGUAA
rnacentral:lncRNA from 1 species